CUGCGCUGUGGACUGUGGAAGGCAUGAUUACACAUUUGGGAGGCAAUCAAAGCUCAGCCUUAUCAUUACAGCGAGUCCUUCCAGACAAGCGUAAACAAACUGUCUAGCUCUCUAUGGGAGACAAGGAUGUACAAGUUUGAUUAAUGGUUGGCAUUAAGGGCACCUGGGAUCGGAACAGUUGAAAUCAGACCUCAGGAAAUGCUUCAAGGACAGAAGCACCAUCUGAAGCUACACAGAGAAACGGUUCCAUUCAGGAUGAAAAUGGCUUAAAAGAGGCAGCUGGAAUUGAAACCAAAAUCUGAUGGCAGAAUGCAGAGGGGACCAACUGAGGAGAGCAUGGCGGUGGUAUCCCGUGUGCUCUGGAACCUCCUGCUGUUUAGUCUUUCUCCCUGGGAAUCUCUCCCUGCUCCAGAGAAACAGAGUUUGACUAAAAUCUGGACACCUCUACCAACAUAAAGGCCCUGCUAGGCCUCGUGACACAUGCUUGAAAUGCUAACCACUCAGAAAGCUGAUGCAGGAGAAUGACAUUGACUACUGGAGUGGACUGGCUUCUGAAGUUGUAAGUAAGGAAGACAGCUCUACCACCAUAUUGGGCUUUUCUGCCACAGCAACUUGACUGAAGGACUGCAAAAAGGAAAUCUACAAAAACAGCUCCAUUAAGGAUUUCAGAGUGGUUUCCAGUGACUGCUGUCCAGGCCACCAUCAGCAUCUCACUGGGAAAAGGGAGUGCUGUGGGAGCUAAACACAAACUCCACUGAGCUCCGCACGUAUCACAGCCACCAGCCACUCCCCACCCUGUGAGAAUACAGCAACUGUGGUGAUGGUGGUGAUAGGGCAGUGUGUUGUCUUGGCUAUUUACUUCCCACAGAGCUUUUUUUUUUUUUUUAAAGUGCCAUGCGUGGAGAGUUGAUCAUUUAAAAGCAUCAUGGAAUACAGCCCUGACCUGGAAUAAGGAGAAACAGCAGGGGUCAGCCAAGGAGAGGAAAUCAACAGCGAUCUCAUUUUCUUGUAUUGCCACCCACCUUCCUCUCCCCUACAGUUAUUUCUUACCCAGAGCACAGGAGAGCGUCACGGCUGGCCAACACUGUCCCCUACUGUUUGCUGCACCAUUCGCUGUUUUACCCUCUCUUACCUGCUCUUUCUACUUUUCUCUUCUUUCCCUGCCCCCCCCCUUUUCCUGUACCCAGUCCUCUUAGUGUUGUGUCUCUCUAAGCCCAGAGUCAGACCUGGUUUGUGCUGUCUGCUACCAUGAACCCAAAUCCUCACAUAUCUACUCCAUUUUUCACUUCAUAUCGAUUGUGCCCACUCCUAGGUAUGUCCUUCUCUGUUUCUUCCCAUCAAACAAUCUAACGCUUCUCACUAGUCCCACGGGAAUUGGGUGCCUCUUUUUUUUUCUUUUUUACUUUGUAUUUGUACUAGCAUAUUAGUGCGCACAGUACCAUUGGGAUCCCUUUAAUCCCUAAAUUAAUCACUACUUAACAAACCUCUAUUUUGCAGUCACCUGCCACUCUGCUAUCAGAGCAAGUUAACUGCUGGAUAGCAAAUGUUGCAGACAGUAUUGGGGCAGGCUGGAGAUAACGUGUGGUGCCUGGAACACCACUUGUGUUGAUUAUUUAGUCAGUUUGGCACAAGUGAGAGUCAUCUGAGAAGAGGAAACCUCAGCUGAGAAAAUGCCCUAAUCAAAUUGGCCUUAUAGGCAAGCCCAUGGGGCAUUUUCUUGAAUGAUGACUGAUAUGGAAGAGCCCAGAGCAGUGGUGUCAGUAAAAAACCCCUGGGCAGAUGGCCCUGAGAUUUGUAAGAAAGUAGGUGAUCAAAGCAUGAAGAGCAAGCCACAAAGCAGCAUUCCUCCAUGGCCUCUGUGUCAGUCCCUGCCUCCGGUUUCCUGCCUUGAGUUCCUGCCCUGACUUCUCGUCAUGAGAGACUGUAAACUGUAAGA